GAGAUGCAUCCACAGCAUUCUUUCUGUGGUUCCCCGUGUUGAGUUUCAACCAGGGUGAUUGCUCUACCAUUAUCAGCCAUUGCAAAACUACUCACCUCAUUAUCUAAUUGGCUCACCAUUCUGACAUCACAAGAACCUCGUUGUGGAUGAAAUAUAAACAUUGGCAACGUUUGCAACGAAGAUCUUAGUAAACAUUGUAAAUAUAAAAAAAAAAAAUUUUGCGGCGACCACGGAGGGCAGCGAAAAAAGUUUAUUUUUGGGUCAAACAAAAAAGUUUGGUGCAAUCCUUUACCCGUUACCGCUUAGAAAUUCACUGCAGAGAAACAAUUCAACUGUCAUUGCUUCAUCCUCCACGCUUUAUUCAUCUGUCUUACGUGCAAAGAUACCAUUGGAUAUAUAAAAACCUAAAUUUGAUGGUUUCUUAGUAAAAUUACUACAUUUUUUGGAAACCCUUGUGAAAAACCCUAUAUUUUCAGUCUC